GUAAGUCCGAACAAAGGCCCAAGCCCAUUAGAAAGCCUUCUUCCCCAACAAGAAACCAGACCUUUUUCGUCUCUGCUUUCCAUCAGAGUACAACGCUCGUUCUUCAGGUUCUAGGGCUUUAAUCGAAUUGAACCGGAAAUGUUUCUCACAAGGACUGAGUAUGACAGAGGAGUGAACACCUUCUCUCCAGAAGGGCGGUUGUUUCAGGUUGAGUAUGCCAUUGAAGCCAUCAAGCUGGGUUCAACUGCAAUUGGGUUGAAGACGAAAGAAGGAGUUGUGCUUGCAGUUGAGAAACGUAUCACUUCGCCACUACUGG